AAGACUGGUCUUUGACAAUUACCAAUAGUGUCCAGUGUCUUUAAGCAGGAUUGGAACUUUGCAUGAAUGUAAUUAGAGAAGAUUUGCGGUAGCCGCUAUGUGUUAAUAUUUUUUAGUAGUUUUUGUUCCGAAAAGAACCGUUAGUUGAUGUAUAAAUAAAUCUAUGCAUAUACAUAAUAUGAGCGUUCAGACAAAAAUGUGCGUGUGCACACAAGCUAAAUCCAAGAUGGUGUCCCAUUCAAAGGAGAUUCAAAGUGAUUUGCGAAAACUGUUUUCUGAUUUUGGGGUUUAGCAAAUUUAACUAGAGUGGGAGUUGAACCAAAAAAAUCACUAACGUGCAGGCGCUCUACCAAAAUGAUCUAUCGAUAAAGCCCUUCAAACUUAUCAAAUUUACUGCCUGAUUAGAACCAAGAACUAAAAUUAUACAUAUUUUUUUUUUAUAUCGGUCACAUUUUUAAAUCUUUAAGACAUUAGGUUUGCAAUUUGGAGAGAUAUUAAUUUGUCACAAUAUUUUUGUCUGUCUAUGUUACAAUGCUGACUUAAACACCUCAAAGUUAUCUUUAUUUUGACAGAUAACCAUAUAGGAGCAAUGGAUCUAUAACUUAAAUAAAUUUCGAGGAAAUCGAUUCACUAGUUAUAAAUUUUGUGUCAUCACUUUUCAGUCACUUCCAAUACAAAAUGUCAAGUAUGUACUUGACUUUAACAAAAAGUUUUAAACAAAAAGAUGACCGAGUAAUUUCUGUGGUAAGCACAUUCAUUACAUAAAUCAGUUGUACAAAAACAAAUAAAGGGGAAAAUGUUGCCUUUUUGUACCUUCCAAGUCACAGUCCCGGUUGAUAUAGUGAGGACAGACCUACAUAAUAAUAACUGGUCAGUGCGAUUUCCUCGUACAGUUCCUCUUCUAGAAAAUCCUCUAACCCCCAUCAACUCACUGUUUUGUUUAAGAACAUCAUAAAUAUUAUUGUGUCUACUUACGUGCAAUUCUUCAACACCUUCACCUCCCCGGUACGUGAUGUUUACAAAAUAACGUAUGCAUGUCCUACUAAUUUGCCGCCACCCCACCGUCAAUACACCGUCAACAUACCCUCAACUCGCACCGUCAACUCGCUAACCGUCAACGCAUCAUCAUUCACCUGGGGCCAGCCCCCAAGAGACCCACUCCACACGCGGUGACUUUGGAACAGACCCGGGUGAGCCCCUUGAAUAAUGUCACAGCUAUUCGACAUGAUCUCACCCAUAAAAUCAUGGCUGAAGAAAAAGGCGAUACUACUGAAUUAAUUGCUAUAGGAUUUUUGAUCUGUCUUUAGCUUUUUUAGGGAGCCACUUUGAGAUUCAUGGCCCCCGGGGCUGUUACCAGCUACAGCACUAAAUUUGGUUGUGUGUUAAAACUUUCAGCACCGAAAUUUGAGAAGGGCGUAUUUUGGGUAUGUAGUUCUAGUCAUGGUGUGCAAGUGGUUUGCAGAAAUUUAGCGUGAAGUAAACGUUUUAAGUUAAUUAUUCACUUUAUGCAAAUUUUGUGAAUAAUAUUUUAUAACGUAUAUGUAACGUCCAGGUUCACUCUUUACCGCCAUGACUUCAAAUGCCUACCCAAAAUACCAGGUUGCCAAAUUUCGACCCGAGGGUAAUUCUGUAAUUGCAUACACUUUGCUAUAUCUGGAAACGGAAUCGAAAUAAAUACAUUCCAGCCCCGGGGGCCACGAAGAAUAAAGUGGCUCCCUAAAGAAGCUAAAGAUAGAUGAAAAAACUAGAAAGACCAAUGACUGACAUCCUAAAGAUUGAAUCCUAAUCGUAUUAAGCAUCAUUGGUGCUUCUAUGCCAAGGAAUCAUAAAUUUAGGUUGGAAAUAUAUUGUUUUUAAAUGUACGAAAGUAAACCUCCUGCAAUAUCUUUUACAUAUCAUUCGUGUGUUUACAACCAUGGCCAAACUUAUGAACAAGUUUAGAUUUUAUGAUCAAAAAAAUUACCAUGAUAAUCGUAAAGAAAUAUAGGCGUAAGGUUUCGAUUAAAAUUGUAAGGCAUGGGUAAGUACGUGGAAGUAAAUUAAAUCUUGUGGUCAGUACGUUGGUUUCUGUAUAAGCCGACGGGCAUUUGUAUGUGUUUAAUUAAUUGAUACUCUAUUUGAUGCAGUUUUUCACCCGCUUCGACCAUGCGUCGACUUUCCCUUAACCUGCCAUUAAAUAGAGAGAAUGUUGCCGUUGGGAAGCCCCCCCCCAAAAAAAAAGAAAAAAGAAGAAGCUACGCCACUACCCCCAAUGCUGUUAUUAUUUCUAUAAAUUAGGAACUUUACCCCCCCCCCCUUAAAUUUGAACCAAGUUUAUUUUCUCGGUUCGCCAUAAACCUUUUAUUUGGUCUUAAACCAUUGGGAUGAUUAUGGGCGACAAUUGUUACCGCAUAGGCCUGGAUCAUUUCUCUUAUCAUUUUAACAGUUUGUCAGGCGGACAUUUUUCUCCGUGUAUUUAGACAGUGAAACCGUUUUGUUCGACAGUUGCGAUAAUCAUUACCCCCACAUGCACCCCGUAAAGUUCACAGACUAGAGGUCUGAAAGUGCUACCGCAUCCCCUCCCCCCCGUGCCAUAUUAUAGUGCAGCAAAACCAACCCAACCAAAGUGCAAAUAAUAGGCCUUGAUGUUUCUCUUAAAAUUUUGACAGUUCUUCGGGUGGAAAUUUUAGCUGUGUGUACCUAGCUAUAAGGCCUACUUUAUAUUCACGCGCUUCAAAUUGAAGUUUGGUGAAACCAUUUUGUUCAUUGUGUCUAACUAUGCAUGUCAGUUGCGAUAAUCAUAACCCCCCACACACACCCCUACACACACCCAUGCACCCUGUGAAGUUCACAAGCCAAAUAUAUCUAACGCCCCCCCCCCCCACCCAGUGCCGGUAUUGUGCAGCUAUGUAUACUUUAAACUAAUUAUGGCAACUAAACAAAACAAAACAUGGACACAGAUUUAAACCGUACACAUGUGGGCGUUUAUUUAGUUUUAUAAGUCUUUACAAUACUUUUGUCACUUUAUUUUCGUUAACGUGAAUUAAUAAAUUAAUAGUAAACAAAGAUA